UUAUUGUAGUUCUUAUCUUAUACUCUUAGCCUCCGUUUGGUUCGGGGUUAAGGAAAAAGUAGCUAUACCAGGGAUAGGGUUAAGUUCAGGGUUAAAGUGGUGUUAAAAUUUUUUUGUGUUUGGUUGGAGUAGGUGGGAUAAAAAGAUAAUGAUUGAUAAAUAAGAAAAAAGGUGAGGGCUCGGGAUGCGUGCGGGGUUAAAGUUGGGAAAGGGAGUGGGGUUAAUGAUUGAUAAAGAAGAAAAAGGUGAGAGCUCGGGAUGCGUGCGGGGUUAAAGUUGGGAAGGGGGUGGGGUUAGUAAACCCCACCCUUUUUUCAUGGUGUUUGGGUAUAAAUUGGGGGUUAAGGGGUUAUUCCACC
rnacentral:lncRNA from 1 species